rnacentral:rRNA from 1 species
UGGGGAAUCUUGCGCAAUGGGCGAAAGCCUGACGCAGCCAUGCCGCGUGAAUGAUGAAGGUCUUAGGAUUGUAAAAUUCUUUUCACCGGGGACGAUAAUGACGGUACCCGGAGAAGAAGCCCCGGCUAACUUCGUGCCAGCAGCCGCGGUAAUACGAAGGGGGCUAGCGUUGCUCGGAAUUACUGGGCGUAAAGGGAGCGUAGGCGGAUAGUUCAGUCAGAGGUGAAAGCCCAGGGCUCAACCUUGGAACUGCCUUUGAUACUGGCUAUCUUGAGUUUGGGAGAGGUGUGUGGAACUCCGAGUGUAGAGGUGAAAUUCGUAGAUAUUCGGAAGAACACCAGUGGCGAAGGCGACACACUGGCCCAAUACUGACGCUGAGGCUCGAAAGCGUGGGGAGCAAACAGGAUUAGAUACCCCCGUAGUCCCUGAGCGGGCUGGCAAGGCGCAU